UUUGUCUAUGAUGAUGACUUUCCACUAUAUUUUCGAGUGUAACCGCCAUGAGAACACUCAUGCACUCCCAUCUGAGACUUC